rnacentral:misc_RNA from 1 species
GAUGAAGAACGUAGUGAAAUGCGAUAAGUAAUGUGAAUUGCAGAAUUCAGUGAAUCAUCGAAUCUUUGAACGCACAUUGCGCCCGCCAGAAUACUGGCGGGCAUGCCUGUUCGAGCGUCAUUUCAACCCUCAAGCCCAGCUUGGUGUUGGGGAUCGGCACAGGCGCCCUCGGGCGCCCGCCGUCCCCUAAAUCUAGUGGCGGUCCCGCUGCAGCCUCCUCUGCGUAGUAGUUUUCUCCUCGCAAGGGCAGCUCGGUGGCGACCUCGCCGUAAAACCCCCAACUUCUGAAAGGUUGACCUCGAAUCAGGUAGGAAUACCCGCUGAACUUAAGCAUAUCAAUAAGCGGAGGA